CGCGCAGGCGGUUUCUUAAGUCUGAUGUGAAAGCCCCCGGCUCAACCGGGGAGGGUCAUUGGAAACUGGGGAACUUGAGUGCAGAAGAGGAGAGUGGAAUUCCACGUGUAGCGGUGAAAUGCGUAGAGAUGUGGAGGAACACCAGUGGCGAAGGCGACUCUCUGGUCUGUAACUGACGCUGAGGCGCGAAAGCGUGGGGAGCGAACAGGAUUAGAUACCCUGGUAGUCCACGCCGUAAACGAUGAGUGCUAAGUGUUAGAGGGUUUCCGCCCUUUAGUGCUGCAGCAAACGCAUUAAGCACUCCGCCUGGGGAGUACGGUCGCAAGACUGAAACUCAAAGGAAUUGACGGGGGCCCGCACAAGCGGUGGAGCAUGUGGUUUAAUUCGAAGCAACGCGAAGAACCUUACCAGGUCUUGACAUCCUCUGACAUCCCUAGAGAUAGGGCUUCCCCUUCGGGGGCAGAGUGACAGGUGGUGCAUGGUUGUCGUCAGCUCGUGUCGUGAGAUGUUGGGUUAAGUCCCGCAACGAGCGCAACCCUUGAUCUUAGUUGCCAGCAUUCAGUUGGGCACUCUAAGGUGACUGCCGGUGACAAACCGGAGGAAGGUGGGGAUGACGUCAAAUCAUCAUGCCCCUUAUGACCUGGGCUACACACGUGCUACAAUGGACAGAACAAAGGGCAGCGAAGCCGCGAGGCUCAGCC
rnacentral:rRNA from 2 species